AGAGUUUGAUCCUGGCUCAGAUUGAACGCUGGUGGUAUGCUUAACACAUGCAAGUCGAACGGUAACAGGACUAGCUUGCUAGUUGCUGACGAGUGGCGGACCCCCUAUUAACGCGUAGGAAUCUGCCCAUCUGUGGGGGAUACCAGUUGGAAACGACUGUUAAUACCGCAUAAUAUCUGCGGAUUAAAGGUGGCCUUUGUGCUGCCGCGGAUGGAUGACCCUGCGUUAGAUUAGCUUGUUGGUGGGGUAAAGGCCUACCAAGGCUGCGAUCUAUAGCUGAUUUGAGAGGAUGAUCAGCCACAUUGGGACUGAGACACGGCCCAAACUCCUACGGGAGGCAGCAGUGGGGAAUAUUGGACAAUGGAGGAAACUCUGAUCCAGCAAUACCAUGUGUGUGAAGAAGGCUCUAGGGUUGUAAAGCACUUUAGUUGGGGAGGAAGUCUUAUUAGUUAAUAGCUUUUAAGAUUGACGUUACCCAAAGAAUAAGCACCGGCUAACUCCGUGCCAGCAGCCGCGGUAAUACGGGGGGUGCGAGCGUUAAUCGGAAUUACUGGGCGUAAAGGGUCUGUAGGUGGUUUGAUAAGUCAGAUGUGAAAGCCCAGGGCUCAACCUUGGAACUGCAUUUGAUACUGUCAGACUAGAGUAUGGUAGAGGAAUGAGGAAUUUCUGGUGUAGCGGUGA
rnacentral:rRNA from 1 species